UUUUAACACACACAAUGUUUUAUUUAAAGGUCUAACUGAUAAAAUGUGGAAUGAUUUUAAUGUAAUGAAAGACUUGGCUCUUCAUACAAGAUUAACUUCAGGACAAAGGCAGCACAAAGUAGGAAGACUCAUUGAUUCUAUUCAUAAGGAUGACAGUGUUCAGUGGGAGCUUCAAGACCGGGGUUUGAGCUUUGACUCCAACUUCCUGUCCUCCCGAGAAAGAAUUUUGCAAGCAGAAAAGAUUUCACCAAGGUGGAAAAACAUUUAAUUACAAUCCACAAUUUGCAGACUGGUCAAAAGAAACCAGCAGAGACCUGGAAGCAGGAGAUGGUGGGGUGGGCUUCCUGGCCCACAGAGAGAGAAGGCUUGAGUGCUGAGGGCCAGUGAGAGGCAUGCCUACAAGCAUGGCUGGGAAGAGACUGUUCCGAAGAAAGAACUGUAUCCUGAGUGUUCCUGAACUGGAAUUGUAACCUGUUACUUCUCUAAUAAACCCCAUAAUCGUGAGUAUUGUCUUUGAGCUCUUUGUGGCCAUUGCAAUGAAUUAUUGAACCCAGCAGAGAAGUAGAGAGUACCAUGGGAGGGAUAGUUGGUGUCAGAAUUAGUAAAGAUGGUGGAGAGAGGAGGCAUGUCUGACCUCUACCUCAUAGGAGUCAACCUUGAGCUGUUGAUCUUGUUUCUCUUUCCCCCUUAUGAAGUUAGAGGUCAGACACUGCCCCCAUGCCAUUUUUAUGGAUGCUCUGCUAAAUAGUGUCAAGCCACUAAAUAACUGGCUGUUGGUCUAUACUGGAAGGAAUUAUAAAACAGCUGAUUCAUUGAUACAAAACCUAUUUAAGGUCAUGCCAGUCAUGGGAAUACAAAUGAAAAAAUCAGUAAUAUAAGUUUAUUGAGUGCUUUCUACCCUGCAAAUUGACUUGUAGUCAUACAGAGGGUUGGGAGAGCUCAAAGUGAUGUUGGUUAUUGUUGUUGUUAGGCUCUGUUGAGUCGCUUCUGACUCCUAGCAGCAUUUGCCGUCCUUAUAAGCAUUGCUGUGUUUGAGCCUAUUGUUACAGUUGCUGUGUCAAUCCAUCUAGUCUAGAAGUCUAGAGUUUUCCUCUUUUUCGUUGACCCUCUACCUUACCAAGCAUAAUGUUCUUCUCCAGGGACUGGUUUCUCCUGAUAACAUGUCCAAAUUAUGUGAGACCAAGUCUCCCCAUCCUCACUUCCAAGGAGCAUUUAGGCUGUCCUC